UUGUCGUCAGCUCGUGUCGUGAGAUGUUGGGUUAAGUCCCGCAACGAGCGCAACCCUUAUUGUUAGUUGCCAUCAUUUAGUUGGGCACUCUAGCGAGACUGCCGGUGCCAAACCGGAGGAAGGUGGGGAGGACGUCAAAUCAUCAUGCCCCUUAUGACCUGGGCUACACACGUGUUCCAAUGGGAAGUACAACGAGUUGGGAAGUCGGGAGGUUAAGCUAAUUUUUUAAAGCUUCUUUCAUUUUGGUUUUUAGGCUGCAACUCGCCUCCAUGAAACCGGAAUC
rnacentral:rRNA from 1 species